rnacentral:SRP_RNA from 1 species
GCUGGGCGUGGUGGCUCAUGCCUUUAGUCCCAGCUACUUGGGAGGCUGAGGCAGAAGAAUCGCUUGAACCCGGGAGGCAGAGGUUGCGGUGAGCCGAGAUCACGCCACCGCACUCCAGCCUGGGUGACAGAGCGAGACUCUGUCUCAA